AUGACUAAGACUCCCACCUCCUGUGACUUGAUUGCCUCCAAAGUCACGGAGAGCACACUCAAUGAUUUCGUGACCAUGGGGUUUUUACCUCCCCAAGAGGUCAUUCACUGGCGGGUUCCAGGCUCCGAAUGCCCCCCCGAGCCCCAAGAAGGGGAGGUUUUAGUUUUUACAGAUCAUCUUCUCCGUGGUUUCUCGCCCCCCGGGUCAAAAAAAUUCCGGGAUGUUUUGCAUUUCUACAACCUUCAUCCACAAGACAUUGGCCUCAAUUCUGUCUCCAAUAUAUGCAACUUCCAAGUGUUGUGCGAGGUGUAUCUUGGGGAAGAACCCUCUGUUGAUCUGUUUAGAGACUACUUUUAUAUCAACCGUCAAACUGAAAUGUUAGACGGGCGGGACCAGUCUUGA
rnacentral:rRNA from 1 species